CAUGCAAGUCGAACGAGAAUCUGCGGAACGAGGAUUCGUCCAAGCGAAGCAGAGGACAGUGGCGGACGGGUGAGUAACGCGUGAGGAACCUGCCUUUCAGAGGGGGACAACAGUUGGAAACGACUGCUAAUACCGCAUGACACAUAGAUGUCGCAUGGCAUUUAUGUCAAAGAUUUAUCGCUGAAAGAUGGCCUCGCGUCUGAUUAGCUAGUUGGUGAGGUAACGGCCCACCAAGGCGACGAUCAGUAGCCGGACUGAGAGGUUGAACGGCCACAUUGGGACUGAGAUACGGCCCAGACUCCUACGGGAGGCAGCAGUGGGGAAUAUUGGGCAAUGGGCGCAAGCCUGACCCAGCAACGCCGCGUGAAGGAAGAAGGCUUUCGGGUUGUAAACUUCUUUUGUCAGGGACGAGUAGAAGACGGUACCUGACGAAUAAGCCACGGCUAACUACGUGCCAGCAGCCGCGGUAAUACGUAGGUGGCAAGCGUUGUCCGGAUUUACUGGGUGUAAAGGGCGUGUAGCCGGGAGGGCAAGUCAGAUGUGAAAUCCACGGGCUCAACUCGUGAACUGCAUUUGAAACUACUCUUCUUGAGUAUCGGAGAGGCAAUCGGAAUUCCUAGUGUAGCGGUGAAAUGCGUAGAUAUUAGGAGGAACACCAGUGGCGAAGGCGGAUUGCUGGACGACAACUGAC
rnacentral:rRNA from 1 species